GUUUGAUCCUGGCUCAGGAUGAACGCUAGCGGCGUGCCUAACACAUGCAAGUCGAACGUGAGAGGGUACUUGUAUCCUUGAAAGUGGCGGACGGGUGAGUAAGACGUAGGUGACCUGCCUCGAAGUGGGGGAUAACCAUUGGAAACGAUGGCUAAUACCGCAUAAGCUGGUGAUGAUGGGAAUCGUUAUCAGGAAAGCUUUAGUGCUUUGAGAGGGGCCUACGGCCGAUUAGCUAGUUGGUGAGGUAAAGGCUCACCAAGGCGAUGAUCGGUAGCUGGUCUGAGAGGACGAUCAGCCACACGGGAACUGAGACACGGUCCCGACUCCUACGGGGGGCAGCAGUGAGGAAUAUUCGGCAAUGGGGGCAACCCUGACCGAGCAACGCCGCGUGGAGGAUGGACGGUUUUCGGAUUGUAAACUCUUUUCUCAGGGAAGAGCGAGGACGG
rnacentral:rRNA from 1 species